rnacentral:lncRNA from 10 species
CCACCCUCUCCAGACCUGGGAAACCAGGGGAUGAGCCCACCAUGUGGAAUUCAGAUGGGCCUUCUGGCUACCCCAGGGGCCUCCAGCUCAGCUUCCUGGGUGUGUCAGAGAGGCGUGCCAGGAGCCAGAGCUGAGGAAUGAGGCUGGGCUUACUGCCACCCAGGAGGAGUCCCUCUGGAGAGCCUCAGAAAGUACCUGCAAUGGCAAUACAACAGAAGAGCCUCUAAAUAUCUCCUUUUGGGGAUACGGCAGGAAAGCCAAAGGAAAUGUGAAGAGAUGUCUGAACGCCCAGAGGAAACCAGUGGGCCCUUCCAGGAGUUCUAUUUGCGGUAAGAAACCUUGGCAUGGGGCAGCCAGCUCUCCUGCAAAAAUAGACCAAUGUGCUGAGAAGCAGCUCAAUUCUGGGAGCAAUUCCCCUCCAUGGGGAAGAGAGCUUGCACUGGGACUUAGAAGGAUCUGCCCCCUCUCUUCUUCUUGCCCCUGGACUCCAGAACCAAAAACGGGGAGAAAAAAAGGUAAACAUUUUUUUAAAAAAGAACUCUUGGCCAGGUGGAGUGGCUCACACCUGUAGUCCCAACACUUUGGGAGGCUGAGGCAGGAGGAUCACUUGAGGCUAGGAGUUUGGGACCAGCCUGGACAACAUGGCAAGACCCUGUCUAUCAAAAAAAUACAAAAAUUAUCUGGGUGUGGUGGCACAUGCCUGUAGUCUCAGCUACUUGGGAGACUAAGGCAGGAAGAUUGCUUGAGCCUGGGAGGUCGAGGCUGCAGUGAGCUAUGAUCAAGACAGUGUACUCCAGCCUGAGUGACAGAGUGAGAACCCCAUCUCUUAAGAAAACAAAAAACCAGAACUUAUGAAUGUAUCCAUGACUUAAAUCAAAAAUGGGCCAGUGGAAACACAGGGCAAAGGAAGGUUUCAAAUAAGCACCUGGACACAAACGGACCCAGGAGGUGACACACAGUAUUGAGGACCCACUCCCCAUCACUAGGUCCUUUGGCCUCAAAUGAGUGAGAUGACUAAGAAAAUAGGGCACCAUGUGCGGCAGAAGUGAGGGUGGCUAGACAGAAAAUGACGGCCUUGACUGUGAUGGUCAUCACAGACAGGACCCCUAAGAAAGGUGGCCAAGGGGGUCUGGGGACCCAUCUUUAGAAUACCGGGCUGACAGCAUAACAGGGGUUUGGGACACCACCAUGAAAGAAGACAAUGAAGCCAGGUGCAGUGGCUCACGCCUAUAAUCCCAGCACUUUGGGAAGCCAAGGCAGGAAGAUUGCUUGAGCCCAGGAGUUUGAGACCAGCCCGAGCAACGUAGCAAGACCCCCAUCUCUACUAAAAAUUUAAAAAUUAGCGAAGCAUGGCUGGGCACGGUGGCUCACGCCUGUAAUCCCAAUACUUUGGGAAGCCAAGGCGGGUGGAUUACGAGGUCAGGAAUUCAAGACCAGCCUGACCAACAGGGUGAAACCCUGUCUCUACUAAAAAUACAAAAAUUAGCCGGGUGUGGUGGCAGGCUCCUGUAACCCCAGCUACUCAGUAGGCUGAGGCAGGAAAAUCGCUUGAACUCAGGAGGUUCAGUAAGCCAAGAUCAUGCCAUUGCACUCCAGCCUGGGUGACGGAGUGAGACUCCAUCUCAAAAAAAAAAAAAUUAGCCAAGCACAGUGGCAUGUGUCUGUAGUACCAGCUACUUGGGAGGCUGAGUGAAGAGGGAGGAUUGCUUGAGGCCAGGAGUUGGAGACCAGACUGGGCAACAUAGCGAGACCUCAGCUUGGAAGUAAGGAAGGAAAGAAGGGAGGGAAGGAGGGAUGAAGGUAGAAAGAAACGGGACAAGAUGGACUCCUGAGGCCAUCCUAAUUCUGGAACACAAUACAAUGGCCUCUGUAUGUUAGGAGGGCUCAUUUGGCUUCUCUCUAAGCCAGCAGUCCACAUCUUUUUGGCACCAAGGACCAGUUUUGUAGAAGACAAUUUUCCACGGAUGGGGGCGGGGGGUGGGGGUGGGAGGGGAUGGUUUCGGGAUGAAACUGUUCCACCUCAGAUCAUCAGACGUUAGAUUCUCGUAAGAGGUGCCCAACCUACAUCCCUUGCACGUGCAGUCCACAAUAGGGUUUGUGCUUCUAUGGGAAUAUAAUGCCACACUGAUCUGACAGGAGUCAGGGCUCAGGUAGUAAUGCUCACUCACCUGCCGCACACCUCCUGCUGUGCGGCCGGUUCCCAAUAGGCCAUGGAAUGCUUAUUGGUCCACAGCCCUGGAGUUGGGCACCCCUCUUCUAAGGCAGAAGCUUCUACUGUCUUAGGAGCAGCGUCCUGGCCUCCACAGCAGGGAGAGAGCAGGAAUACCCAGCCACAGAUACUGGUCAAGAUAUUGAUCAACUUCCUACCAUCAUGGUGGAGGCAAGCCUGGAGGCCUCUGGGUGGUCAUCAGGUCACCCCAGCACAUUUUCCUGCCCCGGACUCCUGGCCACGCUGAGGUUGCUGUGAGCAGACACGAUGUGCAGGGUCAUGGAUGUGCAGCUCAAACUCCUUGACAAGCGGGAGAUUUAUUUUAUGGCCCAAGCAGUUUGGAGACAAAAUCGUAAGGUGCUCACCCAUCCAGUGUCUCUUCAGCCGGCACUGGGAGGUGUCAAACUGACCACAUUCGACUGCCCCUUCCGCCCGCAGAAUAUGGGUCUGCGUUUCUCUUUCCCUCUUGGUGGCCAAGAACUGUCAACAUCCAGCUGUGGCUCUGCACUCAGCCGCCGCUCAGCCUGCUCAGGUUGAAAGGUCAAACGUUGUCUGGAAUUGGCAGCCCAGCUUACUAGCAGCUCUUCUGUCUUCAGAGUGCAGUGAGGGGAGCUGUCAGAGGGCUGAGGCAAGGACCAGAGAGGGAACUCCUGCGACAGAGAAAGCUCAGCCCUGGUUAUGUUCUGGAGGGAGCAUAGCAGGGUCUGUCCCAGGAACUUUAUUAGUUAGCGGUUAAGAUCCUCAUCCACAGAAAAGCCGGUAGGAAUUAGCCAGGUGGUGUGUGCCUAUGGUCCCAGCUACCCAGGAGGGUGAGGAGGGAGGACUGCUUGAGCCCAGGAGGUUGAGGCUGCGGCUAGCUAUGAUUGUGUCACUGCGCUCCAGCCUGGGUGACAAAGCAAGAUCCUGACUCAAAAAAAAAAAAAAAAAAAAAAGGAAGAAAGAAGAAAGAGAGAGAAGAAAGAAAGGAGAGAAAGAGAAGGAAGGAAGGAGAAAGGAAAGAAGGAAGGAAGAAAAGGAAGAAAGAAUGACAAAGAAAAGAAAGAAAGACGAAAAGGAAAGGAAAAGAAAAGAAAAAAGAAACAAAAGCAGGAAAGUGAGGGGAGAGGGCCAGGAAGACAGAAGACAGGAUGGGCAAGAAGGGUGGGAAGGAUUCCCACACCAGAUUCAGGAGUGGCUCUGCAUUGGGAAAUCCAUCUACGACUGCUGGGGACUUGGUUUUGCAAACAUGCACAGAGAAACCUUCAUCCACCUCUGUGCAAUGUUGGACUGAAGUAGAAAUGAGCCGCUGUUUUCUGGAAGCACCCCAUUUCUUUGAGCUGAUCUUCUCUAAUAAUGAAUUCUGGUGAAGCCUGCCAUUCACAGCACCCUGCCCUCCCAUCUGUAGGAGGUGGGAACAGGACCCAGGCCAGUUGAUCAGAGAGCUCCCUUGCCCUGGGAUGAGCAUGUGACCCAGAUGUCUCAAUCAUGGGGAAGAUCCUCUUGCCUGUUAUAGCCACUAUGCUGGAAGAACAGGAUGUGGGCUUGCUGGCCGCCAUCUUCCAGUCCACGCUGGGAACCCAUCUGCAGGAGGAGGGAAGGAGGACAACCCAGUUUGAGGGAGCAUAUGGACAGCAGCUAUAGAAGGCUCCAUAUGUGCCCAGUGCUAGAUCCACCCCAUCCCUUCCUGUUCCAUAAAUCCAUACAUCUUCUCUCACUUUUGCUUACCCUAGUUUGAGUUACAUUUCUGACACCUGCCACCAUAAAAGCCCAAAUGAUUACAGAGAAUAUUUGGCUACAGGAAAGACCCUGCAGUCUGUGAAAAAAGAGGCUGCUGGUGCAUAGUCAUCGUAGACCAGUGCAAAGAGUGAAACAGAAACAUCCAGCUUAAUCUGCAAAAGCCUUUUUGGAUCCUUGAGAGGCGCUCAUUAACUUACAGCAAAUUGGUGAGCUGAUACUCUUCUUUCAUCCAGCAUGAAGUUGCAGAAGCUGACCUGGGUCCUAACUGUAAAAUGCAGAGGAACUCUAUCCAUGAGGAAGCUUUGUGAAGUCGAUUCAUUGCUAAUGUCCCUGUAGUGUCCACCACAGGAAACAUUACUAUUUGGGUUUUGUGACCCAGGAAUCCAUAUUUACCUGGCGGCAACGACACAGCCCUCACCUUUCCAGACCUCAUCUGGUGGCCUUGUAAUCCUGGAGCUGAAGCUGCCUACACACAAGCAAUCGGUCGCAGUGUAUCCGUGCAGGGUCCCAACCCACUCCAGGAUUCAUUUCGGGAUGGCUUCCCCUCCCUCAGCCAGGUCUCCGGCCCCGUUGCUCUGCAUGCUUGCCCAUCUCCAUCUCCACGGCGAUCAUGUGUUUGCAGGGAGCCAUCAAUAUCCUCUUCUCUUACGCUUUCUGAAUGGGAGAGUCAAUCUCAAUGGGAAGCUAGCAGGGACUUGGGUGGACAGGUGUCUCACGCUGGAUGGGCGAAUCCAGGUGGGAGGGAGGGUGGGCUUGCUGUCAUUUGUUGGUGGGUCAUGGGAUUUGCUAUGAAGCUGGAGGGAAAAUCUGGACCCCUGAAGAGGGGUCCCUUCCCUUCCUAAGGGAAGGCCUCAGCUCCAAGACUGCAGGAGGAGCUGGGUAGCCAUUGGAUAUGGCUAACGCACAUGAAUCAUGACCAGGGUGCACUGUUUGGACAGCAAGUCAGUGGCCCAAGGAGAGAGAGGUUAGUGAUGGGAAGCGUCCUGAGACUCACUGAUGCAUCUUUACAUUUUUCUCUUUAAGCAUUAGGAAGAGGCCGGGUGCCGUGGCUCACACCUGUAGUGCCAGCGCUUUGGAAGGCUAAGAUGGGCAGACUGCUUGAACUCAGGAGUUUGAGACCAGCCUGGGCAAUGUGUCAAGACCCCAUCUCUACAAGAAAUUUUAAAAUUAGCCAGGCAUUGUGGAAUCCUGCUUUGUGUAGUUCAGUGCCUGCUGCCAAGUCAGAGCUGUGACCUCAAUGAAAGUGGCCCAGCCACAGCAAACCUCAGUUUCCAUAACAGUCCUGGGAUCCAAUGUGGCUUUCACACUACAUGUCACUUCACUCUGUUAUCUCUGACAGAAAACCAACUCAAACUGGCUUAAGCAAAAAGGGUACUCACUGGGCCAUGUAACCAAAAAGUGUAGGCAUACAUGUGGCUUCAGGAAUGGCUGGAUCCAGGCACUCACAUGUGGCAUCGGGAGUCCCUCUCCUGGCUGUUGGUUUCAGUUUUCUCUGCAGGGGUUUCAUUCAAGCACUGGUUCCCUCCUCAUAGUGGCAAGGUGGCUGCCCAGGACAAGAGGCUUAUAGCCACGGGCUCAGCUACUUAAGGAUAAGUUCCAUCAGAAGCCCAAGUUGAGGCCGGGCUUGGUGCUCACACCUGUAAUCCCAGCACUUUGGGUGGCCGAGGUGGGUGGAUCACUUGAGGUCAGGAGUUCGAGACCAGCCUGGCCAACACAGUGAAACCCUGUCUCUACUUAAAAAAAAACAAAACAAAACAAAAAAAAAAACCAUGAAAAUUAGCUGGGUGUGGUGGCACGUGCCUGUAAUCCCAGCUACUUGCAAGGCUGAGGCAGGAGAAUCACUUGAACCUGGCAGGCGGAAGUUGCAGUGAGACGAGAUCACGUCAUUGUACUCCAGUCUGGGCAACAGAACGAGACUUCGUUGGCAAUGACUGGGUCAUCUGUCCAGUCCUGAACCGGUCACUGUGUCAGGUAGAAGCAUUGUUUGAUUGGCCAGGCCUGGGACACACGGCCAUCUCCAGACCUAGGAAUGGCAUCAUCUCUACCCAAACCCCGUGAACCAAGAGUUGGGGAGGAGCAAAGCUUCAGAGAAAACUCUGGGCCCUGUCAUCAAGCAGAGGAGGAAAGGAGGCCACACAGACUGAGACAUCAAGUACCCACUGUGCCCUCACCACCAGCUCCCGCCCUGGCCAGUGCACUCCUGGACCAUCUCUCCUCCCCGUCUUGUUCACAGUCACCCUCUCACCCCAGCAGAGAUCAGGCCAGGGUACUGGUGGCAAGUGAGUGAAGGGUUUCAGCAAGGGGGUCCCCACCUUCCAGGCACAGUGUAAGUGGACCCCCCACACUUGGGGGCUCUCCUGGGUUGCACAGUGUCCUCUGAAAAUUCACAUCCACCUGGAACCUGCAAAUAUGACCUUAUUUGGAAAUGGAGUCUUUGCAGAUGUUGUCAAGAUAAGAUGAAGUCAUACUGUUUUAGGAUGGGCCCUCUAUAUGGCACGACUGGGGUUCUUAUACGAAGAGGGACCCUGGCACACAGAUGCAUACAGGGAGAGUGCUGUGUGAUGAGAAAGGCAGAGAUUGCAGUGAUGCUGCCACCAGCCAAGGAGUCACCAUCAGCCAGGAGAUGGGCAUGGAUCUGAUUCUCCCUGGGAACCUCCAGAAGGAGCCAACCCUGCCAACACCUUGGUUUUGGACUUCUGUUCCCCGCAACUGUGAGACAAUACAUUCUGUGGUUUUAAGCUUUAUGAUAAUUUGUUACUGUAGCCCUGGGAAAGGAAUACAAGGGUAGACAGACACUGAUCAAGUAAGCAAACAAAUGUGAAAUUGCCCUGUGACAAGGGAGGUGCGGGGUGCCUGUGUUGGGGAAGAAUUCUCUGAGACUUGAAGUCAGAGAAGGAGUUAGCUAAUGGGGCCGACAGGGUUCUGCACACGCAGCUCACGGCCCAGAUCUUGUUGGCCAAGUGUUUUUGCAGGGAUUAGGAACUAAGAAUGGUUUUGCAAGAAGAACAUCACAGGCUGAGGGGACAGCAUGGGCAAAGGCCAUGAAGUGGGAGGCGCCCUCUGUGAAACCAACAAGCUUUCAGCCACGUGGGUCUCUCUGACGCGUUGCCUCAGCCACAGAGGGCUUUAAAAAGCCCCGAAACUGGACAGGUGUCACUGCCUGUGGCAGUAGCGGCCAUUUGGCGCCUGUGGUUUCAACUCCACCCGUUUCACAUGUCUAUGUUACCAGACUGGCCCCUGAAGGGGAUCUGUGUGCCAGGCCCUGACCUGCCGGGCUUUGGAAACAUCCUCGACAGUGUCCCCUGACCUGCGCCCCGCCUUGUGGAGUGAGGCCUGGUUGCCCAAGCUGGCUGGGCCGGGCUGUUUGUUGCUUCCAACAAACAUAGGAGAGAACGUAUGGCUGCUUUUUAUUGCCAGUGAGAGUUCCGCGAGGCCUGGCCCGAGAUGUGGCUGGCGUGAGGGGUCCCGGACCUGCUGUGCUGGGGACGCACCCAGUUCUGUGUCGCUUGGUCCAGUGAGGACUCGAGCCCCUUGGAGGCGGGGCCUCGGGCUGCAGGGGCGGGGCCCCGAGCCGCCUGGGGGUGGGGCCUCAGGCUCUUUGGGGGCGGGGCCUCAAGCUGUCUGGGGACGGAGCCUCCGGCCGGCUGGGGGCGGGGCCUCAUGCCUAAGGGGCGGGGCCUCGAGCUUUCUGGGGGUGGGGUCUCAAGCUUCAGGGUCGGGGCCUGGAGCCGCCUGGGGACGGGGCGAUCUGUUGGGGAGGAGGUUCUCGAACUGCUGAGGAGGAUCGCAGUGCUUUUGCUUCCUCUAGGAGACCAGCUGCACAGGCUGGAACAUGCCAUCUCUAUGCCUGUUUUCCCGUCGAUAAAUCCAGAGACAUUACUCUCAUCAUUUCUUCCUCUGUACACAAUAUUCAUAUAUGUAACCCCUUGGUAAAGCAGUUGUAAGAAUUAAACAAGAGGAAUUGCUCUUUCAUUCAGCAAAUAUUUUUUGAGCAGCUACUAGAUGCCAGGCACUGUUUUAGACGCAAGUGAUACUUCAGGAAACAUAAUCAGAC